UGAUUCACAGCUAAUCCUACAGGAGAUCUGACUGGCUCAAUUUGGCAACCCUGUCAUUCUAUCAACGCAACUUCUGAAAAAUAUCUGCCUUGCUCAAAGCCUAAGGGGCAGUGGGGGCCACAUCAUAUCACUACUGGGCAGUUCUUACAUUGAUCCCAAGAACAAGGAAUGAUGAUUUAAUGAAAGUAAUGAAUAUCAUUAUCAAAAUUGCUUUGAAGGUCAUAGCCUGAGAAGCUAUGGGAAAUACCCCCCAACAGCUGAAGGAAAGUCAGACACCUAGAAAGGAGAAUUCGAUAUGUGGAUCAACACUAUUAGAGCCAGAAAUAAUAUCACUGGGCUCAUCGGCUUAAAAUGU
rnacentral:lncRNA from 1 species